CACCGCUCCCGGAAGCUCGGUGAACACGUAGUACAUCACGCUCUGGCCCGCCAUGAAGUGCUGCUCCGCCGUCUCCAGGAAGCGCUCCAGGUACUUCUCCAGUGACCCUCGCCUGCUCCUCCGUCACGGGAUCAUUGCAGCAGCACUCUUCAUGCUCCUGGUCACUUCCUCCACAACCCCAGAGUCAUCUCAUAACAAGUCAGCCUGCCUUAACAGUUUCCAUGUCACACAAACAGCUUGAGAGAGGCUGUGCAACUCACCCACAGCAGCCGCGAUCUGGGCCUCCUCCUAUGUUCCCCUGUUCAGACCCCUGCUCCAUGAACUGGGCGGACCCAUGUCCACUAAAGUGCUGAGGAAGUGACAGCGUGUGAUUUCUGAGGCUAGAUCAUAAAGGGCACAGCAGUUCUCACCUCACUCUUCUGCCUGGGUUACUGCAGAGUAAGCCAGCUACCAGUAAGCCACCCCAGCAACCCUUUGGAGAGGCAUGCGUGGAGAGCAGCCAAGGCCCUGGUGGUCCCCGGCCUCCUUGCCGUGUGAGUGAACCGUGCUGGAAGUGGGUUUUCUGGCUCCAGACCUCAGACACUGCAGCCUGUAUGGCGUCUUCCCUGAGACCUCAUAUGACCUCAAACUCAUACACUGGGUCUGUGGAAGGGAGCAGAUAACCUCUCUGUUUCUAGUUCUUAGACUAAGAGGAACUGGACACCAGGAGCCUCAUACCAGGACUGCCCAGCCGAGCCACUCGAUUCCUGACCCACAUGGCCCUUGAGAUGACAAGUGAUUGCUGCUUAAAGUCACUGAGUUCUGGAAUAAUUUACAUCAUGGCAAUAGGUAACUAAUGCAGAUUCUGGUACCUGGAAAAGGAGUGCUGACAUCAAACAGCUCUAUAGAUGUGGGCGUGGCCUCAGAACUGGCCACAGGCAGGAGCCAGAAGGACUCUGUGGAAAGCGUGAGUGUCUAAGGUGCUUUGAGAGACUGUAUAUAGAAGUCUCAUGGCCUUUAGGGAAGCUGCUGGGGAGGCCUAAAGGAAAGUGAGGAAACUCUUAGUGGAGAUUGGAAGAAACAGGGUCUCUGUUAUGAAAUAAAAGAACAUUUUGUAAAAAUGUGGUUGGUAGCAGAAAUGUAAGUUGAAUGUACCUCAUGAAGUGGGUGGUCUAGCUAAGGAGAUUUUCAGGCAGAAUGUGGAAGGUGUUGCUUGGCUUCUUACUGCUGCUCACAGUAAAAUAGGAGAGAGAGAAGGUAAAAACAAACAAACAAAACUGUUCAACAUAAAGGAACCGGGAUCUGCCGGUUUUAAAAAUGCCCAGCCUCUCCAGAUGGCACAUGAUGCUAACAUUAAGAAAUGGUUUCUAGGCAAAGAUCAAAUUCAGGGCACAGUCAAGAAAACACGGUCUACAGAUUAAACUUAGGAUGUGACUUAAAUCUUUUUGUGAAGACUUCAGAAAGAUCUAAAGUGAUGCCUCAAAGAGC
rnacentral:lncRNA from 1 species